GUUAGGAAUCUUCCACAAUGGGCGCAAGCCUGAUGGAGCGACGCCGCGUGAGGGAUGAAGGUUUUCGGAUCGUAAACCUCUGAAUCAGGGACGAAAGACGCGCAAGCGGGAUGACGGUACCUGAGUAAUAGCACCGGCUAACUCCGUGCCAGCAGCCGCGGUAAUACGGAGGGUGCAAGCGUUACCCGGAAUCACUGGGCGUAAAGGGCGUGUAGGCGGCCGCGUAAGUCUGGUCUUAAAGACCGGGGCUCAACCCCGGGGAUGGACUGGGUACUGCGGGGCUAGACCUCUGGAGAGGCACUCGGAAUUUCUGGUGUAGCGGUGGAAUGCGUAGAUACCAGAAGGAACACCGAUGGCGAAGGCAGAGUGCUGGACAGAAGGUGACGCUGAGGCGCGAAAGUGUGGGGAGCGAACCGG
rnacentral:rRNA from 1 species